rnacentral:rRNA from 1 species
CUGAAGACUUUGCCGGAUUAGCUGAGAGGUGGUGCAUGGCCGUCGUCAGUUCGUACUGUGAAGCAUCCUGUUAAGUCAGGCAACGAGCGAGACCCCACGCCCACAGUUGCCAGCGUACUCUCUGGAGUGACGGGUACACUGUGGGACCGCCGCUGCUAAAGCGGAGGAAGGAAUGGGCAACGGUAGGUCAGUAUGCCCCGAAUAUCCCGGGCUACACGCGAGCUACAAUGGUUGGUACAAUGGGUAUCUACCCCGAAAGGGGACGGGAAUCUCCUAAAACCAAUCUUAGUUCGGAUUGAGGGCUGCAACUCGCCCUCAUGAAGCUGGAAUCCGUAGUAAUCGCGUUUCAACAGAACGCGGUGAAUACGUCCCUGCUCCUU